AUUGAACGCUGGCGGCAGGCCUAACACAUGCAAGUCGAGCGAGAAAGGUCUUCGGACUGAGUACAGCGGCGGACGGGUGAGUAACGCGUAGGAAUCUACCUGGUAGUGGGGGAUAACUCGGGGAAACUCGAGCUAAUACCGCAUACGCCCUGAGGGGGAAAGCGGGGGAUCUUCGGACCUCGCGCUAUUGGAUGAGCCUGCGUCGGAUUAGCUAGUUGGUAGGGUAAAGGCCUACCAAGGCGACGAUCCGUAGCUGGUCUGAGAGGAUGAUCAGCCACACUGGGACUGAGACACAGCCCAGACUCCUACGGGAGGCAGCAGUGGGGAAUAUUGCGCAAUGGGGGCAACCCUGACGCAGCCAUGCCGCGUGUGUGAAGAAGGCCUUCGGGUUGUAAAGCACUUUCAAUAGGGAGAAAAGGCCCACGGUUAAUACCCGUGGGAGUUGAUGUUACCUAUAGAAGAAGCACCGGCUAACUCCGUGCCAGCAGCCGCAGUAACAC
rnacentral:rRNA from 1 species